rnacentral:SRP_RNA from 1 species
GAUGUACCCAUAUUCAAGAUUAAGUGGUGAACCAGGUCAGGUCGUGACAGAAGCAGCCUUAAGCUUACUUAGUUUGUGAGUAUGGGUACAUGAGG